rnacentral:rRNA from 1 species
UGGGGAAUAUUGGACAAUGGGCGGAAGCCUGAUCCAGCAACGCCGCGUGAGGGAUGACGGCCUUCGGGUUGUAAACCUCUUUCAGCACAGACGAAGCGCAAGUGACGGUAUGUGCAGAAGAAGGACCGGCCAACUACGUGCCAGCAGCCGCGGUAAUACGUAGGGUCCGAGCGUUGUCCGGAAUUAUUGGGCGUAAAGGGCUCGUAGGCGGUUUGUCGCGUCGGGAGUGAAAACACCGGGCUUAACUCGGUGCUUGCUUUCGAUACGGGCAGACUAGAGGCAUUCAGGGGAGAACGGAAUUCCUGGUGUAGCGGUGAAAUGCGCAGAUAUCAGGAGGAACACCGGUGGCGAAGGCGGUUCUCUGGGAAUGUCCUGACGCUGAGGAGCGAAAGUGUGGGAGCGAACAGGAUUAGAUACCCUGGUAGUCCACACCGUAAACGUUGGGCGCUAGGUGUGGGAUCCAUUCCACGGGUUCCGUGCCGCAGCUAACGCAUUAGGCGCCCCGCCUGGGGAGUACGGCCGCAAGGCUAAAACUUAAAUGAAUUGACGGGGUCAUAGCUGUUUCCU